UCCUGGCUCAGGAUGAACGCUGGCGGCGUGCAUAACACAUUCAAGUCGAACGAAGCACUUUGGGACGAUCCCUUCGGGGUGAAGCCUGAUUUGACUUAGUGGCGAACGGGUGAGUAACGCGUGAGCAAUCUGCCUUAAAGAGGGGGACAACAGUUGGAAACGACUGCUAAUACCGCAUAAGCCCACACUACCGCAUGGUAGAGUGAGAAAAGAUUUUAUCGCUUUAAGAUGAGCUCGCGUCUGAUUAGCUAGUUGGUGGGGUAACGGCCUACCAAGGCAACGAUCAGUAGCCGGACUGAGAGGUUGAUCGGCCACAUUGGGACUGAGACACGGCCCAGACUCCUACGGGAGGCAGCAGUGGGGAAUAUUGCACAAUGGAGGGAACUCUGAUGCAGCGACGCCGCGUGAGGGAAGAAGGUAUUCGUAUUGUAAACCUCUGUCUUCGGGGACGAUAAUGACGGUACCCGAGGAGGAAGCACCGGCUAACUACGUG
rnacentral:rRNA from 1 species